GAUGAAGAACGUAGCGAAAUGCGAUAAGUAAUGUGAAUUGCAGAAUUCAGUGAAUCAUCGAAUCUUUGAACGCACAUUGCGUCCGCCAGUAUUCUGGCGGGCAUGCCUGUUCGAGCGUCAUUACAACCCUCAGGCCCCCGGGCCUGGCGUUGGGGAUCGGCGGAGCCCCCCGUGGGCACACGCCGUCCCCCAAAUACAGUGGCGGUCCCGCCGCAGCUUCCAUCGCGUAGUAGCUAACACCUCGCGACUGGAGAGCGGCGCGGCCACGCCGUAAAACACCCAACUCUUCUGAAGUUGACCUCGAAUCAGGUAGGAAUACCCGCUGAACUUAAGCAUAUCAAUAAGCGGAGGA
rnacentral:misc_RNA from 1 species